GGGGAAUAUUGCGCAAUGGGCGAAAGCCUGACGCAGCAACGCCGCGUGGGGGAUGAAGGCCUUCGGGUUGUAAACCUCUUUCAGCAGGGAAGAAGCGAAAGUGACGGUACCUGCAGAAGAAGCACCGGCUAACUACGUGCCAGCAGCCGCGGUAAUACGUAGGGUGCAAGCGUUGUCCGAAUUUAUUGGGCGUAAAGAGCUCGUAGGCGGUUAGUCACGUCGGAUGUGAAAACCCGGAGCUUAACUCCGGGCCUGCAUUCGAUACGGGCUGACUAGAGUGUUGUAGGGGAGACUGGAACUCCUGGUGUAGCGGUGAAAUGCGCAGAUAUCAGGAAGAACACCGGUGGCGAAGGCGGGUCUCUGGGCAACUACUGACGCUGAGGAGCGAAAGCGUGGGGAGCAAACAGGAUUAGAUACCCUGGUAGUCCACGCCGUAAACGGUGGGCGCUAGGUGUGGGGAACAUUCCACGUUCUCCGUGCCGCAGCUAACGCAUUAAGCGCCCCGCCUGGGGAGUACGGCCGCAAGGCUAA
rnacentral:rRNA from 1 species